rnacentral:rRNA from 1 species
UACAUGGGGUGCAAACGUUGCUCGGAAUCAUUGGGCGUAAAGCGCGCGUAGGCGGUUACUUAAGUCGAAUGUGAAAGCCCUCGGCUUAACCGAGGAAGUGCAUCCGAAACUGAGUAGCUAGAGUACGAAAGAGGGUCGCGGAAUUCCCGGUGUAGAGGUGAAAUUCGUAGAUAUCGGGAGGAACACCGGUGGCGAAGGCGGCGCCCUGGGUCGAGACUGACGCUGAGGCGCGAAAGUGUGGGGAGCGAACAGG